UGGCUCAGAUUGAACGCUGGCGGCAGGCCUAACACAUGCAAGUCGAGCGGUAGCACAGAGAGCUUGCUCUCGGGUGACGAGCGGCGGGCGGGUUAGUAAUGUCUGGGAAACUGCCUGAUGGAGGGGGAUAACUACUGGAAACGGUAGCUAAUACCGCAUAAUGUCGCAAGACCAAAGUGGGGGACCUUCGGGCCUCAUGCCAUCAGAUGUGCCCAGAUGGGAUUAGCUAGUAGGUGGGGUAACGGCUCACCUAGGCGGCGAUCCCUAGCUGGUCUGAGAGGAUGACCAGCCACACUGGAUCUGAGACACGGUCCAGACUCCUACGGGAGGCAGCAGUGGGGAAUAUUGCACAAUGGGCGCAAGCCUGAUGCAGCCAUGCCGCGUGUGUGAAGAAGGCCUUCGGGUUGUAAAGCACUUUCAGCGGGGAGGAAGGCGAUAAGGUUAAUAACCUUGUCGAUUGACGUUACCCGCAGAAGAAGCACCGGCUAACUCCGUGCCAGCAGCCGCGGUAAUACGGAGGGUGCAAGCGUUAAUCGGAAUUACUGGGCGUAAAGCGCACGCAGGCGGUCUGUCAAGUCGGAUGUGAAAUCCCCGGGCUCAACCUGGGAACUGCAUUCGAAACUGGCAGGCUAGAGUCUUGUAGAGGGGGGUAGAAUUCCAGGUGUAGCGGUGAAAUGCGUAGAGAUCUGGAGGAAUACCGGUGGCGAAGGCGGCCCC
rnacentral:rRNA from 1 species